CCUACGGGCGGCAGCAGUGGGGAAUAUUGCACAAUGGGGGAAACCCUGAUGCAGCGACGCCGCGUGAGUGAAGAAGUAUUUCGGUAUGUAAAGCUCUAUCAGCAGGGAAGAAGAAAGACGGUACCUGACUCAGAAGCCCCGGCUAACUACGUGCCAGCAGCCGCGGUAAUACGUAGGGGGCAAGCGUUAUCCGGAUUUACUGGGCGUAAAGGGAGCGUAGACGGCUGUGCAAGUCUGAAGUGAAAGCCCAGGGCUCAACCCUGGGACUGCUUUGGAGACUGUGGAGCUAGAGUGCUGGAGAGGGAAGUAGAAUUCCUAGUGUAGCGGUGAAAUGCGUAGAGAUGAGGAGGAACACCAGUGGCGAAGGCGGCUUACUGGACAGUAACUGACGUUGAGGCUCGAAAGCGUGGGUAGCAAACAGGAUUAGAUACCCCAGUAGUC
rnacentral:rRNA from 1 species